rnacentral:rRNA from 1 species
GCUGGCGGCAGGCCUAACACAUGCAAGUCGAACGGCACCUUCGGGUGUAGUGGCGGACGGGUUAGUAACGCGUGGGAACGUGCCCUUCUCUACGGAAUAGCCUCGGGAAACUGGGUUUAAUACCGUAUACGCCCUUCGGGGGAAAGAUUUAUCGGAGAAGGAUCGGCCCGCGUAAGAUUAGAUAGUUGGUGGGGUAAUGGCCUACCAAGUCUACGAUCUUUAGCUGGUUUGAGAGGAUGAUCAGCAACACUGGGACUGAGACACGGCCCAGACUCCUACGGGAGGCAGCAGUGAGGAAUCUUGCGCAAUGGGCGAAAGCCUGACGCAGCCACGCCGCGUGCCGGAUGAAGGCCCUAUGGGUUGUAAACGGCUUUUACUAGGGAAGAACGAGAGGGUUUCGAUCUUCUGUGACGGUACCUAGUGAAUAAGCACCGGCUAACUCCGUGCCAGCAGCCGCGGUAAUACGGAGGGUGCAAGCGUUGUCCGGAAUCA